AAAGUGCUCCCAGCAGACCUCCUACCGAGAUGAAGCCUGACCCAGUUCCUGAGGCCAAGUGUGCACGAAAGCCCUUCCCCCGGGUUGAUCACCAUCUCUGCCUGUCAGAAUCCUCUUGACUCCGGUAGCCUUUGGUGGAGAUGUUAGACCCCCACAUAGAAGCUGCGUCAUCUGGUCCACCUGGCCCAGACUCGAAGGAACAAGCUGACGCCAGCUUCCUAAAUCCUCCAGAUGCCUGAUGACGACUUAUUGCCACCAUAAAGCAAUGACGGGCCCCUAUCACCCUCAACCAGC